rnacentral:rRNA from 1 species
UACAGAGGUCUCAAGCGUUGUUCGGAUUCAUUGGGCGUAAAGGGUGCGUAAGGCGGCGCGGUAAGUCGGGUAGUGGAAAUCAUUGGAGCUUAACUCCGAAACUGCAUUCGAUACUGCCGUGCUUGAGGACUGGAGAGGAGACUGGAAUUACGGUGUAGCGGUGAAAUGCGUAGAUAUCGUAAGGAAGACCAGUGGCGAAGG